CUAAUUUAUGCAAAUUAUGGUACCACCCACUUAGUAAAGGACUGUGGCUAAUCUGCAUAUGCACAUUAGCUCUAUUACCUAUUAGCGUACAAAAAGGGCCUGGAAGUAGGAAAAGAACUACAUUUCCCAUCUGCCCUGGCUGUCACAGGCUAAUAGCACCAGCUGCUUUCCAUUGCCCUAAUGAGUGAUUCUACUGCUGCAACGAGACCAAAUGCAAUGAAAGAUUCUUACUGAGGUGCUGUUUUCCACAUGCAGUGCUUGGCUGUGUUGGAGGCCACCAAGAAAGACUUCCUGGCUGUCAUGUGGAAGCUAAGUGGGCUGGGGUCAAAAGGGUUUCUGGCCAUGGUGCUUGUGCUGCAGUGAUCUUGUUCUCCAUCACACUCCAACACAGGUAGCCAUCUUCACCCUCUCCCAAGAGGUGAUGUGGUUUGACUUGUGCUACACAGAGGUGAGUCCAGUUAUGCUGCAAGAAGUGUAAGUAUGAUGGGGUUGACGAGUAGGAGGAGAGGUUCUUCCUGUGCAAGGUGCUGCUCUCUCUUCUUUCAGCAUAGCUCCUGGUCUCAGAACAGGUUUAGUUCAUCGUUGCUGGUGUUGUGUAGAGGAUGUUAUAUUGUGAAAGUCACAACUAUCCCCGCUCAAGGUCUUGUGAAAUAUUUGACCUUAUUUGUGACUAUAUUCACCAUGAUACUUUCAGCGGUUACUACAUUAGUGUCCUUAAUUUUUUACUAUUUAAAGAUUGUUUAAAAGUUUAUUACAGGCUCAAUGAAUGUUCUUCUCCUUCACUAGAAGAUAAAGGCCCGGUUUCGCAGACAGGGUUUACAUUAAGCCAGGAUUAGGCCUUCGAUCAAUUAGGACAUUUCAGUAGCUUUUAUAAACGUGUCUUUAGAAAAAAAUAUUUCUGGUGCACAUCCUGAGAUAAAACAAUGGCACUGACGUGUUUUAAGAUCCGUCCGUGCAAGUAGCUUUCAGUUAAAACAGCUCAAACAUACAUUUUAGUCUGGGACUAGGCUUAGGUCUUGUCUGUGAAACCAGGGGGAAAAAGAAGGGUGUGCUUUAUUAUGCUCUCUGCAGAAUAUGACAGAAGAAAUGUGACUCACACCUGUAACUAUAAAAAGCAGGUAGAACUGCAGUUAGCAUGAAACCUCAAAUGUGUAGCUGGGCUGGAAAUUUAUUUUUGUAUGCAUGUAUAAUAUUUUUUCUCUUACAGAUGGACCAGCAAACAGAUUUAAAGGCUGUUGUGAAUGAUGGGUUACAGAAAUGUCUUCCUGUGUUUAUUAUUAUUUGAAGUUAUAUAUUCUGAUUUGUAAGCAAGAUUAUGAAGUCUCCUUUUGCUAAUCAUUUUAGAGCAUUAUUAAAAAGUCCAUGUACACAAUGUU